UGUGGGCCCCUUCGAUGGCCCAUGGACCAUUCCAGUUGCUCCCAGUCUACUCUCUUAUGCAUAUCUUCUUCAUUCGGACUCCGUUUGGACUGAUCUUGAUUUCAUUGAAUUUUAUUUCUCAUCCUAGAUCUCAUUCUAGACUUAUUAUGGAUCGAAUUUUAAGAUAUUUUCUCAACAAGAAUUGAAUACAGUCUUUAAUGUCGUGACCA
rnacentral:lncRNA from 1 species